AAAUUGAAGAGUUUGAUCAUGGCUCAGAUUGAACGCUGGCGGCAGGCCUAACACAUGCAAGUCGAACGGUAACAGGAAGCAGCUUGCUGCUUCGCUGACGAGUGGCGGACGGGUGAGUAAUGUCUGGGAAACUGCCUGAUGGAGGGGGAUAACUACUGGAAACGGUAGCUAAUACCGCAUAACGUCGCAAGACCAAAGAGGGGGACCUUAGGGCCUCUUGCCAUCGGAUGUGCCCAGAUGGGAUUAGCUAGUAGGUGGGGUAACGGCUCACCUAGGCGACGAUCCCUAGCUGGUCUGAGAGGAUGACCAGCCACACUGGAACUGAGACACGGUCCAGACUCCUACGGGAGGCAGCAGUGGGGAAUAUUGCACAAUGGGCGCAAGCCUGAUGCAGCCAUGCCGCGUGUAUGAAGAAGGCCUUCGGGUUGUAAAGUACUUUCAGCGGGGAGGAAGGGAGUAAAGUUAAUACCUUUGCUCAUUGACGUUACCCGCAGAAGAAGCACCGGCUAACUCCGUGCCAGCAGCCGCGGUAAUACGGAGGGUGCAAGCGUUAAUCGGAAUUACUGGGCGUAAAGCGCACGCAGGCGGUUUGUUAAGUCAGAUGUGAAAUCCCCGGGCUCAACCUGGGAACUGCAUCUGAUACUGGCAAGCUUGAGUCUCGUAGAGGGGGGUAGAAUUCCAGGUGUAGCGGUGAAAUGCGUAGAGAUCUGGAGGAAUACCGGUGGCGAAGGCGGCCCCCUGGACGAAGACUGACGCUCAGGUGCGAAAGCGUGGGGAGCAAACAGGAUUAGAUACCCUGGUAGUCCACGCCGUAAACGAUGUCGACUUGGAGGUUGUGCCCUUGAGGCGUGGCUUCCGGAGCUAACGCGUUAAGUCGACCGCCUGGGGAGUACGGCCGCAAGGUUAAAACUCAAAUGAAUUGACGGGGGCCCGCACAAGCGGUGGAGCAUGUGGUUUAAUUCGAUGCAACGCGAAGAACCUUACCUGGUCUUGACAUCCACGGAAGUUUUCAGAGAUGAGAAUGUGCCUUCGGGAACCGUGAGACAGGUGCUGCAUGGCUGUCGUCAGCUCGUGUUGUGAAAUGUUGGGUUAAGUCCCGCAACGAGCGCAACCCUUAUCCUUUGUUGCCAGCGGUCCGGCCGGGAACUCAAAGGAGACUGCCAGUGAUAAACUGGAGGAAGGUGGGGAUGACGUCAAGUCAUCAUGGCCCUUACGACCAGGGCUACACACGUGCUACAAUGGCGCAUACAAAGAGAAGCGACCUCGCGAGAGCAAGCGGACCUCAUAAAGUGCGUCGUAGUCCGGAUUGGAGUCUGCAACUCGACUCCAUGAAGUCGGAAUCGCUAGUAAUCGUGGAUCAGAAUGCCACGGUGAAUACGUUCCCGGGCCUUGUACACACCGCCCGUCACACCAUGGGAGUGGGUUGCAAAAGAAGUAGGUAGCUUAACCUUCGGGAGGGCGCUUACCACUUUGUGAUUCAUGACUGGGGUGAAGUCGUAACAAGGUAACCGUAGGGGAACCUGCGGUUGGAUCACCUCCUUA
rnacentral:rRNA from 5 species